CUGACUAGGUUGCAGUGCUCUAGGACCACUAACUUUUCUAGACUUUUCAAAUUGUGGUGAGAUUUUUGUCAUGUGACCUAAUGAUCCAAUGUAUGACAACCUAGCAACAACCUGAGUCAUACCCUUCCUGUGCAUCCUAAACCGUUUAACAUCCCAAUUGCCUGUAGAUAGGGUUCUCUCCAGGCCCAUAGUAAUACUAUCUUUGAUUAUGUAUUGAGAAAUGUCCAAACGGCUGGAGCGACUUGGCCUGGCUAGAAGAGUAUCGAUUGUCCUCCUAGCUUCAUCAUUCAUCGUCUUGAACAAAUCUUCAAAAAGGAGAGAUAGCAGCUGACCGGAGAGCUCCAAUCUCUUGUUCCCCACAUAGUCCUUGUCAUCCAUUGCAUCCUUGUUUAAG
rnacentral:misc_RNA from 1 species